UUUCCGUAGGUGAACCUGCGGAAGGACCAUUCAUAAUAAAGUGUUUUAUGGCACUUUUUAAAAAUCCAUAUCCACCUUGUGUGCAAUGUUAGAUCUUGUCAAUCUUGGCGAGAUUUUUAUACAUCAACUCAUUCUUUAACUAAUUUGUCUGAAAAAUAUUAUGAAUACUUAAUUCAAAAUACAACUUUCAACAACGGAUCUCUUGGCUCUC
rnacentral:misc_RNA from 1 species